GACGUAGGGGGCCAGCGUUGUUCGGAAUUACUGGGUGUAAAGGGUUCGUAGGCGGUGCGGCAAGUCGGGAGUGAAAUCUCUGGGCUUAACCCAGAGGCUGCUUCCGAAACUGCUGUGCUUGAGUGUGGGAGAGGCGCGUGGAAUUGCAGGUGUAGCGGUGAAAUGCGUAGAUAUCAGGAGGAACACCGGUGGCGAAAGCGCUCAUCUGGCCCGAUACUGACGCUGAAGCACGAAAGCUAGGGGAGCAAACGGG
rnacentral:rRNA from 1 species